CUUACCUGGGUUUGACAUGGAUCGGGAGUGCUCAGAGAUGGGUGUGCCUCUUUUGGGGUCGGUUCACAGGUGGUGCAUGGCUGUCGUCAGCUCGUGUCGUGAGAUGUUGGGUUAAGUCCCGCAACGAGCGCAACCCUUGUUCACUGUUGCCAGCACGUUAUGGUGGGGACUCAGUGGAGACCGCCGGGGUCAACUCGGAGGAAGGUGGGGAUGACGUCAAGUCAUCAUGCCCCUUAUGUCCAGGGCUUCACGCAUGCUACAAUGGCUGGUACAGAGAGUGGCGAGCCUGUGAGGGUGAGCGAAUCUCCGAAAACCGGUUUCAGUUCGGAAUGGGGUUUGCAACUUGACCUCAUGAAGUUGGAGUCGCUAGUUAUUGCAGAUACCG
rnacentral:rRNA from 1 species